rnacentral:rRNA from 1 species
UACGGGGGGGGCAAGCGUUGUUCGGAAUUACUGGGCGUAAAAGGGCUCGUAGGCGGCCCGGUAAGUCCGCUGUGAAAGUCAAAGGCUCAACCUUUGAAUGUCAGCGGAUACUGCCGGGCUAGAGUCCGGAAGAGGCGAGUGGAAUUCCCGGUGUAGCGGUAGAAAUGCGCAGAUAUCGGGAGGAACACCUAUGGCGAAGGCAGCUCGCUGGGACGUUACUGACGCUGAGACGCGAAAGCGUGGGGAGCAAACAGG